GAUGAACGCUGGCGGCGUGCCUAAUACAUGCAAGUCGAGCGAACGGACGAGAAGCUUGCUUCUCUGAUGUUAGCGGCGGACGGGUGAGUAACACGUGGAUAACCUACCUAUAAGACUGGGAUAACUUCGGGAAACCGGAGCUAAUACCGGAUAAUAUUUUGAACCGCAUGGUUCAAAAGUGAAAGACGGUCUUGCUGUCACUUAUAGAUGGAUCCGCGCUGCAUUAGCUAGUUGGUAAGGUAACGGCUUACCAAGGCAACGAUGCAUAGCCGACCUGAGAGGGUGAUCGGCCACACUGGAACUGAGACACGGUCCAGACUCCUACGGGAGGCAGCAGUAGGGAAUCUUCCGCAAUGGGCGAAAGCCUGACGGAGCAACGCCGCGUGAGUGAUGAAGGUCUUCGGAUCGUAAAACUCUGUUAUUAGGGAAGAACAUAUGUGUAAGUAACUGUGCACAUCUUGACGGUACCUAAUCAGAAAGCCACGGCUAACUACGUGCCAGCAGCCGCGGUAAUACGUAGGUGGCAAGCGUUAUCCGGAAUUAUUGGGCGUAAAGCGCGCGUAGGCGGUUUUUUAAGUCUGAUGUGAAAGCCCACGGCUCAACCGUGGAGGGUCAUUGGAAACUGGAAAACUUGAGUGCAGAAGAGGAAAGUGGAAUUCCAUGUGUAGCGGUGAAAUGCGCAGAGAUAUGGAGGAACACCAGUGGCGAAGGCGACUUUCUGGUCUGUAACUGACGCUGAUGUGCGAAAGCGUGGGGAUCAAACAGGAUUAGAUACCCUGGUAGUCCACGCCGUAAACGAUGAGUGCUAAGUGUUAGGGGGUUUCCGCCCCUUAGUGCUGCAGCUAACGCAUUAAGCACUCCGCCUGGGGAGUACGACCGCAAGGUUGAAACUCAAAGGAAUUGACGGGGACCCGCACAAGCGGUGGAGCAUGUGGUUUAAUUCGAAGCAACGCGAAGAACCUUACCAAAUCUUGACAUCCUUUGACAACUCUAGAGAUAGAGCCUUCCUCUUCGGGGGACAAAGUGACAGGUGGUGCAUGGUCGUCGUCAGCUCGUGUCGUGAGAUGUUGGGUUAAGUCCCGCAACGAGCGCAACCCUUAAGCUUAGUUGCCAUCAUUAAGUUGGGCACUCUAAGUUGACUGCCGGUGACAAACCGGAGGAAGGUGGGGAUGACGUCAAAUCAUCAUGCCCCUUAUGAUUUGGGCUACACACGUGCUACAAUGGACAAUACAAAGGGCAGCGAAACCGCGAGGUCAAGCAAAUCCCAUAAAGUUGUUCUCAGUUCGGAUUGUAGUCUGCAACUCGACUACAUGAAGCUGGAAUCGCUAGUAAUCGUAGAUCAGCAUGCUACGGUGAAUACGUUCCCGGGUCU
rnacentral:rRNA from 1 species